CGUAGGGUGCGAGCGUUGUCCGGAAUUGUUGGGCGUAAAGAGCUCGUAGGCGGCCUGUUGCGUCUGCUGUGAAAGCCCGGGGCUUAACCCCGGGUCUGCAGUGGAUACGGGCAGGCUAGAGUUCGGCAGGGGAGACUGGAAUUCCUGGUGUAGCGGUGAAAUGCGCAGAUAUCAGGAGGAACACCGGUGGCGAAGGCGGGUCUCUGGGCCGAUACUGACGCUGAGGAGCGAAAGCGUGGGGAGCGAACAGGAUUAGAUACCCUGGUAGUCCACGCCGUAAACGUUGGGCGCUAGAUGUGGGGUCCCUUCCACGGGUUCCGUGCCGUAGCUAACGCAUUAAGCGCCCCGCCUGGGGAGUACGGCCGCAAGGCUA
rnacentral:rRNA from 1 species